rnacentral:rRNA from 1 species
GGGUUGGGCUGUUCGCCCAUUAAAGCGGUACGCGAGCUGGGUUCAGAACGUCGUGAGACAGUUCGGUCCCUAUCCGUCGUGGGCGUAGGAAAUUUGAGAGGAGCUGUCCUUAGUACGAGAGGACCGGGAUGGACAUACCUCUGGUGUACCAGUUGUCGUGCCAACGGCAUAGCUGGGUAGCUAUGUGUGGACGGGAUAAGUGCUGAAAGCAUCUAAGCAUGAAGCCCCCCUCAAGAUGAGAUUUCCCAACUUCGGUUAUAAGAUCCCUCAAAGAUGAUGAGGUUAAUAGGUUCGAGGUGGAAGCAUGGUGACAUGUGGAGCUGACGAAUACUAAUCGAUCGAAGACUUAAUCAAAA